GUUAGGAAGAGGAAGAAAAUGAACAUCUAGGACCAUUAGGCAUGGGAACAUGGAGGAAGGCCUAAACUAAUUAUUCCAACUACAACUAGGGUCAUACAUUUUAUUCGGAUUUUUGCCGAUGCCUCCCAAGCCUAAUGUUCUUAGGUGCUCCUUCCUCUCCCUUAUGAUC
rnacentral:pre_miRNA from 1 species